GAUGAACGCUGACAGAAUGCUUAACACAUGCAAGUCGAUGGGGAAGUGGUGCUUGCACCAUGGCAACCAUGGCGGACGGGUGAGUAACGCGUAAGGGACUUACCUGCAGGACUGGGAUAACAGGGGGAAACUCCUGACAAGACCGGAUAAUGUCAUGGAGCUGCAUGGCUUUAUGAUGAAAGGAGACGCCUGCGGAGAGCCUUGCGUCCUAUUAGCUAGUUGGUGAGGUAAUGGCUCACCAAGGCGAAGAUAGGUAGCCGGCCUGAGAGGGUGGACGGCCACAAGGGGACUGAGAUACGGCCCUUACUCCUACGGGAGGCAGCAGUGGGGAAUAUUGGACAAUGGGGGCAACCCUGACCCAGCAAUUCUGUGUGCACGAAGAAGGUUUUCGGAGUGUAAAGUGCUUUCAGCAGGGAAGAAGUAAGUGACGGUACCUGCAGAAGAAGCGACGGCUAAAUACGUG
rnacentral:rRNA from 1 species